rnacentral:rRNA from 1 species
UACAUAGGGCGCAAGCGUUGUCCGGAAUUAUUGGGCGUAAAGAGCUCGUAGGCGGCUUGUCACGUCGGGUGUGAAAGCCCGGGGCUUAACCCCGGGUCUGCAUUCGAUACGGGCUAGCUAGAGUGUGGUAGGGGAGAUCGGAAUUCCUGGUGUAGCGGUGAAAUGCGCAGAUAUCAGGAGGAACACCGGUGGCGAAGGCGGAUCUCUGGGCCAUUACUGACGCUGAGGAGCGAAAGCGUGGGGAGCGAACAGG